rnacentral:rRNA from 1 species
UACGUAGGCAGCAAGCGUUGUUCGGAUUUACUGGGCGUAAAGGGUGCGUAGGCGGCUUUUUAAGUUUGGUGUGAAAUCUCCCGGCUCAACUGGGAGGGUGCGCCGAAUACUGAGAGGCUAGAGUGUGGGAGAGGAAAGUGGAAUUCCUGGUGUAGCGGUGAAAUGCGUAGAUAUCAGGAGGAACACCGGUGGUGUAAACGGCUUUCUGGACCAUAACUGACGCUGAGGCACGAAAGCGUGGGUAGCAAACAGG